AUGGGCAAUGGCCCCGGCACUGCGGCUGUGCGGUUCCCUUCGCUGAAAACCACCUCGUAUUCUGUGCGCGCUGACAGGCAUCUGUCAGAGGGUCCUGUCGCCUGCUCUGUGGUGUUCGGCAGAGGCGCACGGGGCCGUCCAGGGGCCCUGCGGGCUGGCCGCCAGGUGCAGAGAAGGGUCUGGGGCUGUGUGGCUGGCAGCAGGGAGGGGGCCCCGUCGCCCGGGCAGCCCCCGCCCCCUGCCUCAGUGCAGGACCCCCAGCCACAGCUCCCUCAGCGGGGAGGCCCCCAGCCCCUAUGCUUGCUCCCACCGACGGACGGGGACUCUGGGCUGCCUGCGCCCCAGGUUCCCGUGAGUGAGAGGGAUAGGAGACGCAGCCUUAGUCCCAAGGAAAGCCUGUGCCCCUGCCCCUGCCCCCGUGACCCCCCCCUCGCCACGGCCCCUGCGACCCCCCUCACCACCCCGCCCCCGCCACUGCCCCGGCCCCCAGCAGACACCUGUCUGCUCGCUAGGAAGACAGGUUCCCUUCCCGCCGCCGCCGCCGCCGCCGCCUGUGCGGGGCAGGCCAGGGGCCGGGAAGGGGGAGGCGCCCCCUGCCCAGGAGGGCGGCCGAGCCGGGCCGCUGGGGUCGGAGUUGGGCCACGGAGGAUUUGUGCCAACUCACGGUGCGGAGGAAUCGGUCUGAAUUCUUCAGACUCCAGCCAGGAGUCUGUGGCGCCCCCAAGUGCCACAAGGGGGCCGCCUGGGCCACAUUUUGGAGCCCGUAAAGUGAGGAGGGGGAGCCGGUCAGGAGGCGGCGGCGCCCCGGACCGACCGGCCGCGCUGCGCUGCGCUGCGGUGCCGAGGGGCUGCGGCGCGGAGCUGCGGCGGCUGCCGCGCGGCGGGCGCGGCCAGGGGAGGGAGGCGGCGGCGGCCGUGGCCGGGCGCCCGGGGAGAAGGGGGAGAGGCGGCCGGGGCUGCGGCUGCUGCGGAAGGGCCGGGAAGGAGCGCGGGGGGCGGCGCGGGGACCUGGAGUGGCGGCGUGAGUGACAGCGAGGAGCGCGCCGGGAACCCCGGAGCCGGCGUGUGAGCGCCCGGGACUAGGGCGCAGGGCAGCCCCGCGCGCCGUUUUGGGGCAGCAGCGCCAACUGUGGUCCCUCCCCCCCGCAAAUUAGAAAGGCAGACAGCUGAGUCCCGGCCACUCCAGGAGCUUCCUGCGAGUGUGAAGGUCCGAGGGAGAGGCGGGGAUCGCCGCUGGCUGGGCUCGUGCGACCUCAGGGGCGGUCCUGGGGGUGGCACAGUCCCGGACCCCUGCGCCCCACACCUGGCCCCUGAGGGGUGCCCGGGGCCCGAGACGAAAGCCCCCGCACUCGGUCCCUAGUCCCUAGUCUCCAUCCCAGUUCACUUAUGGGAAAUGUCAAACUACACAGAAGUAGUUCCAAAAACACAGUGGGCGCCGUCUUCAGUCUGGCAUCGUCCACCAUCACACCACGUCCCGGGUUCCGUCCAAACCGGGGUGCCGGCCUGCCCUGGCCCCGGUGCCGCACAGCUUGGCCAGUGCCCCCCAGGCACGCACUUCUGAGUCCACCCUGAAGAAAAAAGGCCUUUUUCUUAGCCACAACACCAUUAUCAAAAUUAAAAGAGUAGCAGCGUUGUCUUAAUGCAUCAGUUCGGCGUUCUAAUAUUCCUGAUGGACUCAUAAAUUUCUCUUCCUGUUGACUUGUUCAAACCAGUGGCCAGACCGUCCCUGCGGCAUCAGGGGGGCAUUUGGGGUUCUGGAAGGGGAGGUGCAGCUGUAAAUGCAAGGGCUUGAAUGGGCGCCCAGACCUCCAGAGGCGAUCGCAAUCUAAGCAAACCUCAGUUUUUUCACUGAAAAUGAGGCGAAUUCUAGGAGUCUCCCAGUCACCCGGAGGGCUGCAGAUAGCACACGGGGAGGCCCCAAGCCCGCAUCUGAGAACGUCAGAGACACUCAGCCAGAAGAAGCAGCCGCCAAGGGGAGGUGGGCUGGGGGUGGGUAAAACAGAGAUGGCCUCCAUCCUUAAGACAAAAGGAGCUGGCACCCCCCCGACGCCCCCCAAGGGGUCAAGCGCAUGCAGCGCCUUCCACAGGGGCAGUCUGCAGUCCAUUCCUGGAACUCACAACUCUGCUGCAUCCCGGCUGCAGCUGUGACCCGGGACAGGGGGGUACCCCAGGGAGUGCCAGCCCGCUGGGGACCCCAUCACAGGCCACCCCACGUGCCGCCUGGCUGUGCACACCACUGAAACAUCGCUGAGAACGUCUACAAAUCAUUUCUCCAUUUGUUGUGUGAGAACAGUGGUUUUCUCCCUGCAAAAAUCCCAGCCCGAUUGCCAAAAGCAGAGGGACUCAACACGUAGCUCGCGAGCGUUUGCAGAGGCCAGGAGCCGGUCCCCUCACUCGCGCCUUAAAUCCUCACCACCCCUCUCCCAGCUGUGUCUCCUGCACUUUGUUUGACAGAUGAGUGGACUUGGAGGUCAGUGACGUGUUCAAGAUUGGCUAGGAAGUGGGACCCAGGAUUCCAACCCAGGUUUGUCUGGUUCCUUUGAAGACUGAGAGGUGGGAGGAUGGCUGUUAGGUCAGGAGGCAUGAGUGGAAGGUGGGGGGAUCAGCUGAAGUGCAGAUGGUGGAUGGACAGUGAGAGAAGAGUUUCCUAACGGGUUCAGAGCCUGCCUUAGUGGGGCUUGCUGGUGACGCUCCUGCCUCUGUCCCGGCUCCGAGCAUACCCUCUCACCACAGGUGGUCUGCCCACUCACAGGGACCCAGAGCCAGCCUGGUGCUGACCUGCUCAGGGGUGCUCAGUGCCUGCUGCUGUCACGCAGUGCUGGGGCCAGUGCUGUCCACUGGCCGCCCUGUAUGACUGUCCCUGUGCCCCCGUCGCACACUCUGGCCCUGGCCGGUACUGUCUCCUCCACAUCACCACAGCCACGCUCCGUGGUAGCGAUCGCCGUCCCCAGUUACAAGAAAACGAAACCGAGGGUCAAGCAUGGUAAGUGACUUCCCCAAAGCCAUAGAGGGAGCUCAUGCUUUGAGCCCAGCCCCCUUUGCUUCAAAACCCACACUCUGCCCUGUUUCCUGUUCUCCAUGACCGUGCUCGAAAAUCACGUACUCUGCUCGGGGUUCACCCAUGUCAGACCCACCCUCCCGGUCUGUGGGUGAUCCUAGCUUCUCAUCCAAUCAAAUUUAAUUGUAUUUCUCAAGUAACACCUUCUCUAGUGUCUCCUUCUUGUAAUCAUCACUCAAACAAGGGCCACAGGUACCGGCGGCACCUAGCAACACAACCGACCAAGUCAGAUGAGAUACCUGGUAUCUCAGGUUUCUGUGGCGUGCUGAUGGAAACAGCAGAGCCCGAAGGGGCACAAGGCAGGGAGGGAGGGGGCCAGAUGGAGGGCUGACGGGACCGUCAGUGAGCUUCCCGCAGACGGGCUUACACUCGGCAGUUGGGUUUUGAGAAACUGCUGUGUACGCAUCGCUUGUCUCAGAUGCAGGAGUUUCCGUCCCAGCCAUUGACUAGUUUGCCCAGUUUGGAUGAGGUGUUCACGCUCUGUGCCUCAGUUUCCCCAGUUGUGAUAUGAAAAUAGCAAUGGUUCCUUAAUAAGGACAGCUGAAGAUUAAAGGACUCAAACACAUACCAGGUUUAGAAGAGUGCCUCCUGUAUGGUGAGCGCGCAAUAACCCUUUCAUUGUCAUCUAAGUUCUCAUCGAGAUGUCGUUUAUCGUCUUGGUCACGUGGGAGUCCUGACCCACCUCUCACAGGUGACUGAACAGGUGCUCAGUGAGGCGUGAGAGCUGCUUUGAAUGGGACCCAAUGAAACGAACAAAAACGCGAAGUCAAGACAGACGAUUUCAGUUCUGGGCACAGAAGCAAGAAUUCUGCGCAGCAACGGGAUGUGACCCACCCAAGGGAGCCCCAGGGAAGGCACAUCUUCCUAAGGGGUCUUCCUGGAGAGAGUGGAGCUGAGGGCCCGCUGAGGGGCCCAGGGCAACACAAGCGGUUAGAGUUCUCCGUGCAAAAGUUCUGGGAGCUGGUGGAGCUAAACUUGCGGCUUGUGGAAGCGGCGGACAGGUUCCCCAGUUCUCGUCAAAAUCUCUUAAUCUCUUCCCUUCCCUGUUUGUUUUUUUUUUUUUUUUUUUAAGAUUUAUUUAUUUAUUUGAAAGUCAAGAGUUACACAGGGAGAGAAAGAGAGGCAGAGAGAGAGAGAGAGAGAAAGAGAUCUUCCUUCUGCUGGUUCACUCCCCAAUUAGCCUCAACGGCCGGAGCUGCACUGAUCCAAAGCCAGGAGCCAGGUGCUUCCUCUGGGUCUCCCACGCGGGUGCAGGGACCCAAGGACUUGGGCCAUUUUCCAGUGCUUUCCCAGGCCGUAGCUGAGAGCUUGAUUGGAAGUGGAGCAGCCGGGUCUUGAACCGGCCGGCAUCCAUAUGGGAUGCCGGCGCUUCAGGCCAGGGCAUUAACCCACUAUGCCACAGCGCCAGGCCCCCGUCCCACCCUUUUUCAAACUAUUUCCUGCCUUGCUGUUUCCAAGGGGGCAGUUGCAACCCUUCCGAGUCUCACCACGGGGGCAUGAGAAUUGGUGAUCGCCGCCCAUUCUUGGACAGAACCGUUGCCCCUUGAGCUCAGGUGGCCUGUGGCAGUGUGCCGGGAGGGUGCUGGUGUACGCCGUUGGAUGCCCUAAGAGCCAGGUGCCAGGGACAUGGUGGCUCUGGUGCUGACCUGCUGGGCUGCGCCGACGUAGGCUGUGUUCACAGCACGGUCUGGCCCCAGAAUCUGCACAUGUCCCGUAGGGACGGCUGUCACUGCCCCUUCAACCAGGGCUGUUGGUGCCUCCUGGGUACUCCCUCUGCUCCUGGGGCUGCCUGUGCUGGAGGCCAGACGGGCCCUCCCAGGCGUGUGCGUCCACGCACUCGAGAAGGCAUUGUGCCGCGCAGGGUAAUGCCGACUUGAGCCGCCUCCCGCACGGCACCUCCUAGCCAUGUGACCGCUGGCAGGUCGCUUUGUGGGCACAAUAGGACGCGUGAUGCUCUUGCACAGAUGUCACAUCUGGGUGAGGCCGUCUCUCCCUGACCAUUUCCUGUCCUGCACGCCGCACUUCCUGUCUCCUCCCACAGUGGUGGUCAUGUGCCUUCUUCACGGCCUCGUCUCCACACCUAGACCCGGUGACUGGCUCAGGGUGGGUGCUCACAACUUUUGGGGGGCUAAAAAGGAGAGGUGCUGACGGUCCAGGGGUCGGGGUUUGUACCCACGCCCGAGGAGCGCCGGUGUGUGCAGUGCAGGCGGUAGGGUGCUUGGCGUGGGGGAUGCAUGCAGUGAGUGUUGGCCGAUACGGCUGUCAUGUCUGGUCCACAGGACCGCUGCAGGGAUCAGAGGCGACGGUGUGUGCCGAAGCGUGCCGUGAGCGCCGUGUGCCGGGCGAAGCAGGACACUCGCUCAAGCUUUGAUGCCGUGUCCAGGAAAGGACAGAUCCCACCGAUUUCCUGCCUGAAGCCCACCCUUCCCGAGAGCUUCGGCGUGGCCUGAACGUCGAGACGACUGUGUCUCUCCGGGCCCGCGGGUGCUCAGCUGAAACUUCCCGCAGAGGCCCAGCGAGCCACUGACCCCGGGAAGCAUUUGUUUAAGAACGCGAAUGCGCGCUGAGAUCUUACACGUGCCGGAGAGACAGGGAGGUGUGCAGUAGGGUCUGCUGAUCGCGUUAUUCUAAGGUAGGAGACAGGUUGGGUGAGAGGUGAGGAAUGCAGGUUCUUGUCACAAGUAGUUUUUUUUUUUUUUUUUAUGGAUUUAUUUAUUUGAAAGAGUUACACAGAGAGGAGAGGCAGAGAGAGAGAGAGGGAGAGAGAGAGGUCUUCCAUCCGCUGGUUCACUCUCCAAUUGGCUGCAACGGCCUGAGCUGUGCCGAUCUGAAGCCAGGAGCCAGGAGCUUCUUCCAGGUCUCCCACGUGGUGCAGGGGCCCAAGGACCUAAGCCAUCUUCUGCUGCUUUCCCAGGCCAUAGCAGAGAGCUGGAUCGGAAGUGGAGCAGCUGGGUCUCGAUCCGGCACCCAUAUGGGAUGCGGCACUGCAGGCGGCGGCUUUACCCACUAUGCCACAGGGCUGGCCCUGAUGAGUGGUUUUAAUAAUCAGUGAGACAAGACAGGUGUUGCCAGGGCAAGGAUGGGAAUGGGUCGAGAGCGAAGGAUUGUGAUGAAUUCUGCACAACCGAGGGACAUAGGAAAAGAGACCAGGACGGUCAGCGGCUGUCAAUUUCCUUAUUAAAAAUGAGAAAAGAAUAAAGACCUCAUGUAACCGCGGCCUUGCCUGGAGCAGCUGUGAGGAUGUGUUCUGCAUGGAGGACUGUGGUGAAGCCAGGGCCGCCGAGCUGCCACGAGCAACCAGCAGGUGCGCGAGACCCUCUCUUCCUUUGAGGCCCGUGUGCCGCACGUGGAGCACGCGGGGGCUUCCCUGACCGAGGAGGUGACCGCGGGCAGGUGAAAGCGGGGCUUCAUGGGCGUCCACUGCGUAGGUCCCAAUGCGCGACUGUGUGAGCCACGCCAAGGAGGCCCCGCGGAGCAGCGAUGGCAGAGUGCCCACGCUCGGCUUUCCGUCCGGGGGCUCCCACUCGUCCAGGGAGCUCGCUCGUCAACAUCCCCUUCUGCUCUCAGCGCUGUUCCUGGGGGUGUGCUGAGAGGCCCUAAGCCCUGCAGGUGCACAGCACGCCGUUACUGAGCGUGGCUGCGCUCAGGGUUGGGCUCUUUGCUCCCCGCGUCCUUUGCCCUCCAACCUGAGGCAGCCAUCUUUCCACUCGGUUUAGAAGGCGGAACCCCGCUGGUAGGGAGUGGGGCUGUGGGUGGCAGGAAGCCUGCUGUGGGCAGAAGCAGUGGCAGCCGUUGGCCUGGGCCCAAGGCCUGUGUGGAGUGUCUGCGGUACACUUAGGGGAAUUCGGUGAGCGAGGAAGCGGCAGGAUGAAAGGCGGCUGAACUUAAAGUUUCAUGACCUCAGGCCCGGGUUAAUCCUCUCGUGCGCAGCUGCGAGCCGUCUAAAGCCACUCUGGAUAAGAAGGGCUCGGAGGCACUGGGCAGCAUUUCUGUCCUGGGUUAGUGCCGCUGCCUGCCUGUUUGUUGUGUGUGAAAAGUAAGUAAAACGGCAAACAGGGUGAAGGGGGAGCCGUGAGCGUGCCUGGGCCGCAGGCUGGCGUUACUCUGCAUGUCUGGGUCCGGGCUGGGUCCCCUGGUGCUCCCAGUGCCCCCUGGCCUUGCUGGUGAUUGGGGCAGGGCAGGGGUGCACCCUGAGAUAACACUACAGGUGUUAAUGCUGCAUUCGGGCCAGUGGUGAAUCAGGGUAACUGUGUUCUGCUGACCUCGUGGUUGUUCCAGAAGACCAGGUUUGGUCAGUCUUCUUAGCAUCUGCCUUGUGUCCACAGAACGGGGACCCUGGAGUGGACGCAAGGACCCCUCUUCGGACGGAGACCCUGCUGUGCCCUGUGGCGGAGGAGACCCGAGCCCAGCCGUGGAGUGCAGAGUGAAGAUUGUGGCUGAUGGAAUUGGCCUCUGCUGAUGAAGAUUUUGACUGUUGCCCUUGUGGGACGGCCGUGCGAUGGUGCCCUCUCCACUCAUGAGGACGAGCCUGGUUGCUGUCCUUUUGAGUAACGAGUGCGGAAGCUGACAGCCGCGCUGCCGGGUGGACCACGUCCUCCUCCAUGGCCACAGCUGUGCAGUGUCACCUGUUUCCCGCGUGAGUACAGUUGAGUUCUUGCCUUGGUUUGGGUGGGUUUUAAGCCAUAUUUCCUGUAUUGUUCAGAGAGUUAUGUAUAAAUUGUGAUGGCUAACCAUGGCCCAGAGAUAAAUAUGGCAUCGCCAUGAAGUGCUGGGAUGAUUAAUCAAUAUUGCACAGUUAAAACUGAGUGCUGCAGAGAUAUGACCAGUGUCCAGGAGGAUCCUAUAAAUAGCAGUUAAAGUACACCCAAGGAUCUCGUCCCUAGUGUUCGUGAUUCAUAGGUCUGUGGUUAGUGUUCGUGAAAUGAUGAAUUAGUUAGGACGAGAGCGGAGGCCGGUCUUGGAUCGAUGAUGGUGACUGGCGGGGUGUGAGUCACGGGUGCUGACGGCUGAGCCCCAGCGCGGUCGGAAGUGGAAUCUACACCCGCUGAUGGCUGGGUGUUAGGAGUGUUGUUCUUGGUGCUUGUGUUCAUGCAUUCUCGUUGUAAUCUUCUAAUUGGAUCAGUGAAAUCAUCAAACAAAUAUGUAAAUAAAUAAAGAAGUGUAGCAUUGUCCAGCCAUGACUCUACUCUGAGAAGCAAGGAGCUAAGUAGGAUUCAUUUGAGAGGCAGAGUUACAGACAGAGAGACUGAGAGACAGAGAGGAGUCUUCCAUCGGCUGGUUCACUUGCCAGAUGGCUGCAGUGGUUGCCGGUGGGCUGAUCUGAAUCAGGAGCCGGGAGCUUCUUCUGGAUCUCCUACGUGGGUGCGGGGGCCCUCCUCCCCUGCUUUCCCAGGCCACAGCGGAGAGCGUGAUUGGAGGAGGAGCCGCCAGGGCAGGAACCGGUGCCCGUGUGGGAUACCUGUGCUGCAGGAGGAGGCUUAGCCUACACGCCACAGCGCUGGCCCCUAUUAAUAUAUAUUAAAAUCGCCAAGAGCCAUUAAGAAGCAAAAACUCAAAUGUAGAGAGUAAAAAAAAUCAUGUCCCAACACUUGUUUGGGUAUACCCAUGUUUGUAAAUAAAAAAGUUACCAGAAUUGAAGACAUCCUAAAUGCUGAUAAGAUCAAAGAGGGCUACAGGGAGAAAUGGAGAGAAGGUCAACGUUUCCACCCUCUGUUCUGCCUUGUGCUCUAGAGCGGGCGCCCCCGAGUGGAUGCAUGUCCUCCUCCAUGGUCACAGCUCUGCAGGCACCCUUGUGUGUGUGCAGCAUAGGGUGUAACGUGAGUAUGGUCAAGUUCUUGCCUUGGUUGGGUGGUUUUUAAACCAUAGCCUCUGUGUCGUUAAGAGCAUCAUCUGUAGACCAUGGCCCCACACCACUAUGUUGAUUAAUCAAUAUUGCACAAUUAAAACUGAGUGCAACAAGACAUCGGACAAAUGUUGGAAAAGAUCCUGUGGGUCGCAGGUGAAGCACACCCUAGGAGCCUGCUGUUGAUUUUCCUGAUGCAUAGCUACGUGAUUAGUGUUUCCACGCGGGUGAAUUAGGAGCAGAUUUCAGGGGAGAAGGAGGCCGGUCUUGGAUCGAUGAUGAUGACUGGUGGCGGAUGAGUCGAGGAUCAUGACUACUGGUCUGGAAGGCUGAGGUCCAAGGCCGCGAGCAGGCUCCUCUGCGCCUCCUCAUCCCCGCGACGGGACCUGCCAAGGCGUCCAUGCAUUGCAUUCAGUUUGCUGUAAUUGAUCAGUGAGAGAAUCAUUAAAGAAAUACUUGAAUGAAGAAAUGUCCUUCAUUGUAUCGCACACACUGGCGUCUGUUAAGGAGUAGAGGCUCAAAGGUGCUACUUCUUCCGAGGUUGGCGCUUACAAUAGAAGCAGUGACUGAGUCCCUGUUUGGGUAGGGCCAUGCUCAUUAUUGCUUGUUUUCUCAAGAAAAGAUGUCAUCAGAGUUUAACACAUCCUUAAAUGGCUAAUGAAAAAUAAAAUGGCUAAUCAAAGGUCCCUGUUUCUACAUUCUGUUCUGCUUUGUGCCCUCAGAGCCGCGCUGCCGGGCGGGCCACGUCCCCCUCCAUGGCCACAACUGUGCGGUGCCGCCCGUGUCCCGGGUGAGUACAGUCAAGUUCUUGCCUUGGUUUGGGUGGGUUUCAGCCAUAUUCCCUGCAUUUUGUAUAAACUGUGAAGGCUAACCAUGGCCCAGUGAUGAAGACUGUGGUGUGGUCCAUUAGGAAUGAAUAAUCAAAGAGACGUAGCCAAUGUUGUGAGUGAUCUGGUUGAUGGCUAUAACGUAUUGGUAAGCAUUUUAUUCUGAAGUUUGUGACACUCAUAGUUACUUAAUCAUCAGCAUUUAAAUGAUUCAUUAAUAAAUAAGCAAAUCCAGAAGUUAGCAGAGGGGAGGAGGCUGAUCUGGGAUCAGUGAUGAUGACUGGUGGCGGACGUCGCGGUGACGACUGCUGGUCUGGAAGGCUGAGGUCCAGCACAUCUGUCUCCUCUGCCGCCUCUGCUGCAGGCUUGGGGAUAAACAAGAGAAAAAGCGGUAUCUGUCAUCGAAUUCAUGGCACUCAGACGACAGACUAAUUGCGCGGAGGAGUGAAGGCGCGAGGGCGAGAACAUCUCAAAGCUCCCUUCACCGCUCUGCUCUUCAUCCUCAGGACGAUGCACUUGAGUUGCACUUGAGUUGGCGAACCCGCUCUCCUGGGCCCCGCCCUCUGCGGUCGCCCCGUCACCAGGGGCUCAGAGACGGCCGUACCUAACUGCUUCCAAUACAAAAUGUAGACUGGGAACACGAAGGAGUCAGCGAUGGGCACAGAAUGCAGACGACUCGGGCGAGUCCUUGCUUCUCAUCGGUCUCCUCUGUCCUGCAGUCCUCGGAAAGGACACCGACCGGCUGCCGGGCGUCCCUCCGCAGUGCGCGCUGAUGGGGCACUGGCACAGUAAGGCACGCGCUGAGCCGCCCAGUGUCCCGCCCUGUUCCUGAGCUCCGUGGGUGCCUCUGGGGAGGGCCUCACGUCCAUCCACGAACCAAGCCCCGGGUGAGAGACGUCACAGCUGUGUCACCGUCCGGAGUUCUCCGAGGCGCAUCCGUGCAUCACUGGAGUGCGGAAGGCCGGGAUGCGCCGGGUUCUCCCCGUUCGGCCAUGUGAUUGACGGGGCUGUGAAGCCGAUGUUGGUGAGUUAGUGAAUGAUCAAGUGUAGCUGAGAGCCAAGUACAAGAGGCCCCAUCUGAGCCGGCAAUGACGCUGCUGGCGCAGGAGGCGCAGGAGGUGAGUAAGAUGUGCUGGAGCCCCAAGACGCUUCCAGGAGAAGCCACAGUCUUCCGCCUCUGCUGGAAGUGAUCCUGCACAUAGAUUCUGGAAACAAAAAGUGGCCAUUUUCUUGGGGUACUUUGAUGAAUUUUGAUUCUUUUACUCUAAAUGCAUCAGUGUAGGAGCCAAUAUACAAUGUUAUAAUAUUAAUGAUAAAUUGUAAGAUGUGAUUAAUGGGAAGCUUCAUGUUAAUUGAUCCCUACAUGCAAUACUGAAAUCAAUUAAUGAAAGAGAAAUGUUGGUAACGGGAAGGCAUUUGAUAGGCCGAUGUUAGAGGUGUCCAAGAAUCUAGUUCUCUGGUUUCUGAACUCUUUGUGUGAUUUAUUCUCCUUAAUGAGUUGAUAAGGAAUAAAGUCUGUAGACACGCAUGAUGAAGCUGGCGGCUGUGCCUGGAUCAGUGACGGCUGCUCCGGCGUACGAGCUGUGCCGACGAAUGGAUGCUUGCAAGAACUCUGAGGUCCAGCAAGAGCAGAACCAGGCCGCUGCCUUUGUUGGGCACAAACAGAACCUCUGAACUCGCUUCCCUCUCGGCUGCUUUGUGUUUCCCAGGCACAGCUGCGCUGACUCGCGCUUCCCUGAGCUGCACGGCUGUGCCUGAAGCAGGAAGACCAGCGUGAGGGACAGCCCUGUCUUGUCUGGGCUUUGGAGGUUUGCUCAGUACAGUCACCGACUCUGGCUUUGAAAUACAGCAAAUAUAGUCAAAGAAGGCCAACCGUUGCGUAGGUUAUGCUAACGAGGGGGAUUCAUGAGAGAGACACACAAAUGAUUCCAUAGGCAGAUGUUAGGGAUCCUUAGGGACUUUUUUCCCUUGAAAUUUUUGAUUCAUAGUCGAUUUUAUUGUAAUUAUUCAUAACUCGUGAAUAAUAAAAUGUAGAUUAGUAUGAAGAAAAUGCACUCAAUGGUGGAACCGGCGGUGUGAGUCUUGGAUGAUGGCUGACGUGGAGCUGGGAGGUGAGCAAGCAGGAAACUUGGUCCAUGUGUUGGGCUCAUUUGUGAGUGACCUGAGGUGUGGAAGCUGGGAAUAUUUUAUUUUGGAUUCAUGGAUUUGUAUAUUAUUAUUCCUGUACAUUGGUCCAUGGUGGACGUAGUGAACAAUUCUAGAAUUCAGCAUUCUCACCUGUGAAUAUGUGUGGUGAGGCAGGACGCGCCGAUGGCAUGUUCAAGGCUAACUACAGUAGAGAAGCCAACACAUGAAAGGUGUCACGUAGACUCAGAUAAGGAAGCCGUGGCCAGUCUUUUUGGGUGAGUCAGUUCAAGGUUGUCUUGUAAGAAAAACACACGUAUGUUAGGAUAAAUUGAGAAAUGCCUGCAGGACAGGAUACAGGGGAUGGGGAAGAUGAGUCAUUGGAGAGAAGGCAAUUGGCUCCUCUGCCGCGUUCUUCCGCACUGCGCCUGCACUGUGCUGCCUUAAGGAUCCGUUCGUUCAGGAGCUGUGUGGGUGUCUGUAUGUGCAGGCCGUGGAGCCCAACGCAUGUAACUGCCAGCGUUCUUGUCUUGUCUUUGAAUGUUUGUAAAAGUUGUCACUGUAUUAUUGUAGAGCUUAGGAUGUAAUCAGUUAAGACUAACCACUAACCAUGGCCUAAUCUUAAAGAUGGGAUUGAUAAAAUCAUUAUGUUGAUUAACACAUAUAAUACAUGAAAUGCUGAGGUCAGCUAGUAAAAUCAAUCUAUUGGGAAGUAACUUUAUAGACAGGUGUCAGAGGCAUACACAAAUCUUGUUCUUGGAUUUUUGUGACUUUCUGAUGCUAAUUUAUUUUAUUGGUGAAUUAAUCAGCAAGUGCAGACAUGGGUGAAGACAGAGUGAACCUGGGCCGGCACUGAAGAGUAGGCAUAAUGACUACACACGCCAGAACUUGAGGCUCAACAUGAAAAGAGAAAUAAUUUAGUUCCUUCGAUAGAAUUGACUGUAUAAACUUGGUAUUAGGCCUAUCAAGGGUCUUAAUGUAUGUCAUGGCUAUUGAUUCCAUUGCUCAAAUUAAUUAACGUUAGGAUAGCUUAAAAAUGUGUGAGUUAGUAAAGAACCCAAGGUUGCCUCUGUUAGAGAAAGAAAGUUACUCCAUUUUACUGGUGUUCUUAAGAUCUGAGAGGCAGAUAUCAAUUGCUGGAAGAAGACUUAGGGAAAACACUUAAAGACAUUGGUAUAAGCAAUGAGUUUUUGAGUUAUUUAUAAGACCCUAAAGCAUGGGCAGCAAAAGCAAAACUAGACAGUGGGAUCCCAUCAGGCUCAGAAACUCACGCCAGCAAAUGAAAUCAGACUUCUGGCAGAGUGGGAGCAAAUAUUUGCAAGCCAGUUACGUGACAAAGGAUUACUGUUCAGAAUAUAUCAGGAACCCCAGCAUCAAGAAAGCAGCUAAUCCAGCGAAGAAAUGGGCAAAGGACGUGAACAGAGAGAUCCUCGGAAGCAGAACCAGUGGCCAACCAGCCCACGAGAAACGCUCUGUCACCGUGAGAUGCCGCUGUCAGUAAGACAGAAAGUCGCGUGUGCUGUGGACGCGGGCAGAGGCGGGUUCUCCUACACUGGAAAUGCAAGCUAGCACAGCCGCUGUGCCAACCAGUGUGCCGAUGUCUUAACCAGGAUCGGGGCUGACCGUGCUCUGUGGCCACGGAGUGUGCGGGCUCACGUAAGCCAGAGUCAGCGCUCUUGUCUUGUCGGGUGGUUUGUUCGCUGGUGCUUGGAGUGCUGUAAGAGGUGAAUCAAUGGGCACAAGCCAAAUAAAAUCGAAGAAGGCGACAAACGAGACCGCGCCGUGCGGCGCAGCUGUGGACAGAUUGGUGCCAUUUCCGACCUCUCCCGGCCACUCGAUGUGUUGCUUUAGCUUUGUCAUCACUGCUUUGUAUUGCUGGCUACAAUGCUGCUUUGUUAACUGCAUGAGGUGGGAGCACAUAGGAAAUGAACAGUUGUCAAGGUCAAGUGGCCCAUUCUUCUUGUUCAUUGUCACAGCUUAAUAGAAUGUGUAAUUGUAAGGAGAGUAGUACAUGAAUCUGUGAUAUAAAUGGAAUCAGCUCUCAAAGGAAGGUGUAAAAUUAUAUUUUCACACCAUUGUUGUAGUCCAUUCAAGACCUCUCCCGGCACUGAGCCUGCUGACGAAUGGCGGGAGCAGUCGGUGAGCCUUGCUGGGCUUUGCUGGGCUGUUGUGUGCGUCGGUUCUGCUGUGAGUGAGUCAUCGCAUGUAAAUAUCGUGCAAAUGAAUACAUAAAAACCUGCUGGACGUGUGAUUUCCAUAAGCAUGUUUACUGGAAUAGAGUUGUAAUUUCAUGUUUCUCGAACAAUGGAAAUAGCCCCAGCCUGGGACCCACGUCAGCCGGCGGCACGUGCGCAGGUACGUAAUGACUCAGGAGAUUAAAGCCACCAAGCACGGACCAGUUAGGAGGAUUUGUUCUGAAGCGAGUAUUAGAAUUGAGUCUUUUAGUCCAGAGAAGCAAAUUUUUUUUUAAAUUUUUAUUUAUUUAUUUGACAGGCAGAGUUAAGACAGUGAGAGUGAGAGACAGAGAGAGAGGUCUUCCAUCUGCUGGUUCACUCCCCAAAAGGCCGCUCUGAAGCCAGGAGCCAGGAGCUUCCUCCUGGUCUCCCACAUGGGUGCAGGGGCCCAAGGACUUGGGCCAUCUUCUACUGCUUUCCUAGGCCAUAGCAGAGAGCUGGAUGGGAAGAGGAGCAGCCGGGACUAGAACCUGCGCCCAUAUGGGAUGCUGGUGCCGCAGGCGGAGGAUUAACCUAGUGCGCCACAGUGCCGGCCCCCAGAGAAGCAAAUUUAAAAAGAGAGUGAAACUUUCAAUUCAUGUUCAUAGCUGUGUAUUAUUCCUCCUUGGUUUUCUUACACCUGUGAUUGAUAGGUCUGUGGGUCAGAUUUAAAGCGUAGAUCUCAAGGUGUGCUGUUGAUGUGCAUGGUACCUGUUUUAGAGGCUGAAUUUAUAAAGAAAGUAAGAUGAUGUCAGCUCGUAGAGGACAGGGUUUGAGUGCUCACUGUGGGCUCGUGACCCCUACGGGAGGCGGGGUGUAUGGGCUCCAGGGGGACAGUGCCCAGGGAGGACUGGGGUGUGCGUAACCCACUGGGCUUCGUAAGCCCCAGAGCCACUGCCUGCCGUGUUCCCAGCAGGGCCUGUGGGCUCCGUCUCUGGGCCUUUGUGGAUUUUGAUUUCCUGACCCUCAGUAAGUUUAAAAAUAAACGAAUACGGCAGUGUGCGUGGGAGAAGCGUGCGCGUGCGUUGUUUGCAGGGGUGUGGCGGGGGUUCUUGUUGAUAGCAGCUGCGAUGAUAGAUUCAUGAAUGAAAUCGUAAACAGACCAAAGGGUAGGAGUGAGUGGGCCAGCCAGAGAUUUGUAGCAGUUAGGGUUCUCGCUUUGUGCCCAGGUGGGUCGUUUAUUCGAGAGAAAAAGAAGUGAGUGACAGCACAUGGAGACCGGUUAAUGAAGGAGACGUUGUGAGGGGUGCUCAAGGGUGAUGGUUCCGGUUUCUGUGAUCCGGGGAGACGUUUCCUUGUCAUUACUCAGUUGAAGUGUUCCUCAGUCAGUACACGUGGGACGGAGGGGGCAGAGGUGGGACGUCCCGAUGGCCAUCACUGCUGGCCGUGGCGUUGCGGGUGCCCAGCGCUGAGUGUGUCCGACUCUGGGCUGCGUGGCCUCUCCUGGCGGAAGCGAGCCUACGGAAGCCUUAGAUGUGCCCGGAGGUCCCAUUCUUGACCUUCUGAGGUUCACAGAUUUUGUUUGCACUGUUCCCAAGCACCAGUGACAAAAUGCCCAUGAUAAGUGAAGUUGAAGAGGGUGAAGCGUGGGCAAGGGAAGAAAUCGUGGUCGCAAUCCAGUGGGUCCUGGUGUGGCCUCUUUGUAGACAGUGACAGGUGAUAGUCACUGGCUGCUGUGGGCGCUGCUGGGUGCUCUCUCGGGGGGGUCCCUCAGAUUUUGUAUCUCGCUCCAUAUUGUCCUGGGUCAGUUCCAAGUUCGAGGCUAAGCGUUUUCUUAACAGAAAGCAUGGAUGUAUUAUGCAAAUUUAGUAAAUAGCAAAUACUAGUUGGGAAAGGAGAAGAACAGAUAUCUUGACUUUGUUCCGCUCUGCUUUGUAAUCCUCGGAUGGAAGCCUCGCGGGCGGUGACCCCCUCUGGCACGGUCACGGGCUCGCUGGCUGCCUCUGUGUUAGGAACGUGGAGACCGUGUGAGUGUUGUCAGAGUUCUUUUCGUGGUUUGGGAGGUUUGUUUAAGGGUAUUCACUGUAUCAUUGAAAUCUUAGAAAUAUAAUUAUGUAGCUCACUGAUAAAUAGAGCAUUAAAUAUAAAGCUUUCUGUGGGUUAAUGGGUGAAUGAAACUGAAGCUAGUUAAUGAGGAGGUAACAUCGCUGUGAGAUGAUUCUCGUAGGAACAGGGCUUCCUUAGGUUCCCGUGAAUGGUAAGGCUUAAGUAGCUGUCAAUGAGCACCAGUCCUGGGUCAGCAAUGACCACUCGUGACGUUUGAAGGGAGUCUGAUCUCGUAGACGGAGUUCAGAAAUACAAGAGCGUGUUUGUUGUUACCGAUUUUCAUAAUUGGAUCAGUGUAAGAAUCAAUCAGUGUGUAAUAGAGAUGGAAACGAGAAUCAUUAUCCAAUUAUGAAAGUCUGUGUCGAGGUUAGGCAUUCUACACCCUGACACAUCCCCUCACUGGCUGAAGAUGUAGGGGGUGUAAUUAUAGCCAAUACUGACAUUCUGGGUCAAUUGUCGGUUUGGAUUGCUCCAAUCGAAGAGAAAAUGAAAUCAAAUCUGCCCACUAAUGAUGGCCUCAGUGGCUGACUAAUGAUGGGAGGGACAGUGCUCCACGUGGGUCUGUCUCUGCCAUCCCCGUCUCGACUGUUCCAGCCCAGGGUGUGGACGCACUUGUCUGAGGGGUCACAUGCUGUGUUUGCACCCGGCUUAGCAAGCACCUUGCCCAGGGUCACCCCUUUGAGUGUUUUUAAGAGGAUUUAAUGAAUUAUAAAACAAUUACAUAAUAUAACCGAUUAUAUCCCCAAGACAGACAUAGGAUUACUAUGAAGGGUCUAAUUUUAAUGUCUGUGAAAACUGAGGUUAAUGAAUGACUCAGAUAUAUCAUUGUUAGAAUUUUUUUUAAAAGAUUCAUUUAUUGGCUGGUGCCAUGGCUCAAUAGGCUAAUCCUCUGCCUUGUGGCGCCGGCACACCAGGUUCUAGUCCCGGUUGGGGCGCCGGAUUCUAUCCCGGUUGUCCCUCUUCCAGGACAGCUCUCUGCUGUGGCCAGGGAGUGCAGUGGAGGAUGGCCCAAGUGCUUGGGCCCUGCACCCCAUGGGAGACCAGGAGAAGCACCUGGAUCCUGCCAUCGGAUCAGCGCAGUGCCGGCCGUAGCAGCCAUUUGGGGGGUGAACCAACGGAAGGAAGACCUUUCUCUCUGUCUCUCUCUCUCUCUCUCACUGUCCACUCUGCCUGUCAAAAAUAAAAAUAAAAAAAAGAUUAAUUAAUUUAUUUGAAAGGCAGAGUUACAGAGAGGCAGAGGCGGGAAACAGAGAGAGAGAGAGAGAGAGAGAGAGAGAAAGGUCUUCCAUCUGCUGGUUCACUCCCCAAAUGGCCACAAUGGCUGGAGCUGCGCCAAUCCAAAGCCAGGAGUUUGGAGCCUCCUCUGGGUGCCCUUCGUGGGCGCAGAGGCCGAAGGCCUUUGGCCAUCUUCCACUGCUUUCCCAGGUCAUAGCAGAGAGCUGGAUCAGAAUUGGAGCAGCUGGGCUAUGAACUGGCACCUGUGAAAUAAUUCUUUUUAAGAUUAGAAAUAUCAAGGCUCUUCUGUUUUUGUGAUUCAGAGGCUUCAAAUCAUCGUUAGUGACAUAAUGAAUUAGUCAGCAGGCAGUGUGGAAACGGUGCGUACAGAACACUGCUCCUGGGCCCAGGGCGACCGCGGGUGGCAUGAGUCAGGUGUGACGAAUCCGUGUCUGGAGCUCCGAAGUUUGUCACCAGAGAAGUGUAACCCAUUCCCUGUGUUUGGCGGACCCUGGACUCAGGUGUCGGGAGUACAGAAUAUGUUUGUAUCUGGUCUUUCUGAUUAUGUAUUUUCAUUAUUUCUUUUUUUUUAACCUGGAUCAAUAAAUAUGGAUAAUAUAUAAAUACCUAAAAAGUAGAAUAGGUGAACAUUGGCCAAUCAUAAAAAUACAGGAUGAGGUAAGACGUGCUGUC